rnacentral:rRNA from 1 species
UACGUAGGGUGCAAGCGUUGUCCGGAAUUAUUGGGCGUAAAGAGCUCGUAGGCGGUCUGUCGCGUCGGUUGUGAAAAUCCAGGGCUCAACCCUGGACCUGCAUUCGAUACGGGCAGACUAGAGUUCGGCAGGGGAGACUGGAAUUCCUGGUGUAGCGGUGAAAUGCGCAGAUAUCAGUAGGAACACCGGUGGCGAAGGCGGGUCUCUGGGCCGGUGCUGACGCUGAGGCGCGAAAGCUAGGGGAGCAAACGGG